UACGUAGGGCGCAAGCGUUGUCCGGAAUUAUUGGGCGUAAAGGGCUCGUAGGCGGUUUGUCGCGUCGGGAGUGAAGACCUACAGCUUAACUGUGGGCUUGCUUUCGAUACGGGCAGACUAGAGGUAUGCAGGGGAGAACGGAAUUCCUGGUGUAGCGGUGAAAUGCGCAGAUAUCAGGAGGAACACCAACGGCGAAGGCAGCUCGCUGGGACGGUACUGACGCUGAGGCGCGAAAGCGUGGGGAGCAAACAGG
rnacentral:rRNA from 1 species